UCCCAUCAAGGGCAUCAGGGCCAGACACCCAUGCGAUGUCGGCACAUUUCCUUCCAUUGGCAUAGCUAAGUAUUGAUUAUUCACAAAAAGAAAACCCAUUCCACCGUUUGCCAUUUUUGUUAUGCACAACCUCCUUAUACCUCGUUCUCCUCCUGCAAACAUUCACCUCACAAAAAUUCAAUUUCUGCUCUGAACGAUAAGAGGCAACAACAGUGCGCCUGCCAAAGUAUGAAGUGCUGAAGCAGUCAAAGUUAGAUUCGCCUCAGUUUGGCAUCUGGGUUUCCAUCAGUGCGCCGGUUUCAAUGGUGAAGCAGUGCAUGCUGAAAUAAGAUUUCCUGAUUUGGAGCUUGCUUAAGGCCAAAUUCAAUGCUAUUAACUGACCGUUGGCAGCUAAUUUAGAGGGUGUUAUCUUUUCCUGUCCGAAUUUGGAAAACAAUUUGCAAUUCAGGUACUGGUCUGAGGUCUGGCUCAGCAUGACCUGCUGUUGAAGGUAGAGCACUAGUAAAUACCCAACAAGCGGAGGAGAUCACUGUCCGGUCCUACUACUCCACCCCGUCUUUCCGAAGCUUCAUCCGUCCACUCCGUCACAGACUCGAACGACUACAUCCAGUCCCUUGUCAACUACUUUAGAAUGCCACGAGACCACACCAUUGCAAAGGCACAUUGAGAUGAAAACAUGGAAAUACACUUCUGUAUGACAUAUGUCGAAUGGAAAAAGAGUGGGGAGUGGAAUCCAAACAUUGCAUCAGAUGCCAAUUGGAUGAAACUUGCUUCCCACCUAAAUUUGACCUGGGGAAAGCAACAUAGUUGGACAGUGUACCAUUCUAAAUUCUUGAACAAGAUUUGGAGUGCCUUUGCCAAGUUAAAGAGUCUGUGACAAACGUUCGAAACUGGUAUUGGUUGGGAACAAGAAUAGGAGAUGCUUCUUGGCUGAAGAUUCUCAAUGGAACAAUUUGCAAAUAGAGAACCAAGAUUAUAGGAACUUUAGAUAUUUCCAAUGUAUCGACAAAUAUGCUAUCCUGUUUGAGGUCUUAGAAGGAGAAACCGCUACAGGGAAUCAGGCUCAAGCUUCUUCGGUACCGCCUUCAAUUUUGAAUCCACGCAAGCGAGCUGGACAUACUGGUGGGCAGAUUUUCUCUUCACAAUUUGGUGAUGAAGUGUACAACGCAGGCCAAGAUGUCGACUUCAACAAAGAAGCUCCAAGUGUAGGAGUUAAGUGAGCAUCAAGCAGUCAGGGGGCACGACUUCGCUCCCAACUGGAUCUCAUGGAAGCAAGUCAAGUAGAAGUACAAACAAUCCUUUCGCCGAAUGUGCCCACUCGCUCUCCACCCUAGCAAAUUCAAAACUACAGAUCAAAGGUCGCAGAGAAUCUGAAAAAGAGAAAUUUGAUGUGACUAUGGCAGCUCAGGUCGUGGAAUCGUUCGAAUCGGUGCACAAAGGGAGGAAGCUCACUGCUGUUUUACAACUCCAGGAAGACAAGUGACGGAAGAUUUUCCUGAGUCUCACUCGCGAUCUUCAAGAGUAUUGGUUGAAUUUUUUGGAGAUUGCCUCUCAGAUGGGGCCAGAUGAAAGGUAGGUGAGACUUCAGAUUUUAGUGGCUGUGCAUGACAACUACAGGCAGACAAACUGCUCGGCCUUUAAAUAUUUGAGUGAAAGUGCUGUUUGUAUUUUGGCAUAGCUGAGUUGGGAUUUUCGGCCUGUCAUUAAAUGUAUUUCCUUCAAAAAACUUGUUUGGAUAAUUAUGAAAUGUUGAGUUUCUUAUUCCGCAUUCCUUGAAAUAACUUCACCUAUGCAAUU